CUUUCUGGCUAUCGUUGAGUGCUUGGCCGGCAGAGGCCAUGGUUGUAAGAUGGAAAUGAAGCUAGGAGCCUAGGACUAACGGAUGUGCAGAAAGCAUGCGCAAAUUGUUCUGGAGAGGUCGUAUGCUGUUUGAGCUGAAGGAGAUGGCAACUGAGCCUGUGCCUCAUGUUAUGAAAGCGACAUGCCCAGGUGUUGAGUGCCGGGACGCAAUUGUUGUGGUGGCAGGCCGGCAGCAGAUCAACUUGCCCACAGCUUUGGGUGACGCAUGUUCACACGCUGUCCGGGCGGACAACAACAGGUGGCGCAGAUUAGCAGCGUUACUGCCUAAUACGUCACGUGACCCGUAAUGUGUAUCAGCACACUUCUGAAAUACUCCUGUGGCUAAAACGGGUAAGCAAAUACUUAAUCCACCCGCCAUUGGUUCUGAUAUGUCACAUUCAAAUCGUUACGUGGUGGUGCUGUCCUAUGGUAUCCGGUUUUGGUUGCCCAAAUGAUUUUUGCAUGUUUCAUGUUAGCCAUGGUUCAGCCUAAAAAGGCAGCAACAUUUGAUCUUGCUGAUGAUACUCGGCUUGCCUUGCCUGCAUUAUUGUCGGGACAAAGGUCAUGUGCCAAACUGGGUCAUUGGGUCCCAUCAUUUUGGGAAGAUGCACUUGCAAUUUUGCACGAUAUUUUAUAUAAAUUUCUAGGAACCGGUCACAUCACUGGCAGGUAUUAUAUAAAUUUCUAGGAUAUUCCUCAGUUGCUUCUCUACUGCCAGGAAAAAACAUAGUCUCUUGUUUGGUGUUGAUGCGGUGGCGCAUGCUGGUUGGAAGUUUCUCCUCUUUGGCGUUUGGUCUGUUCUAUCUUUGAACGGCUUAUCCGAGCUAAGAUGCACGAUUUGUAUCAUGACUGCCCCGAACCCAGAGAUCUUUGGAAGCAGCCAAGAAGUAGAGGCUUUAGAAGACAGUCGGAGCACUAGCAAACAAGGUACUCCUGUAGCCUAUUGUGUUUUUCUUCUAGAAAAAGCUGUAUCGAAUUUGAAUUCCCUGUUCAUAUAGGUGAAAGGUAAUUUUGUUGGGGGAAAGUUCAGUUUACACCCUUGAACUAUC